GUGGAAGAAGCACCGGCCAAUUACGUGCCAGCAGCCGCGGUAACACGUAGGGUGCGAGCGUUGUCCGGAAUUAUUGGGCGUAAAGAGCUCGUAGGCGGUGUGUCGCGUCGGCCGUGAAAACCUGCAGCUUAACUGUGGGCUUGCGGUCGAUACGGGCAUCACUGGAGUUCGGCAGGGGAGACUGGAAUUCCUGGUGUAGCGGUGAAAUGCGCAGAUAUCAGGAGGAACACCGGUGGCGAAGGCGGGUCUCUGGGCCGAUACUGACGCUGAGGAGCGAAAGCGUGGGGAGCGAACAGGAUUAGAUACCCUGGUAGUCCACGCCGUAAACGUUGGGCGCUAGGUGUGGGGACCAUUCCACGGUUUCUGUGCCGUAGCUAACGCAUUAAGCGCCCCGCCUGGGGAGUACGGCCGCAAGGCUAAAACUCAAAGGAAUUGACG
rnacentral:rRNA from 1 species